rnacentral:rRNA from 1 species
CCCCUAGAUGUUCUGGGCCGCACGCGCGCUACACUGAACAGUUCAACAAGUCUUAACCUUGGCCGAUAGGUCUGGGUAAUCUUUGAACGCUGUUCGUGAUUGGGAUAGACCUUUGCAAUUAUGGGUCUUCAACGAGGAAUUCCUAGUAAACGCAAGUCAUCAGCUUGCAUUGAUUACGUCCCUGCCCUUUGUACACACCGCGCGUCGCACCUACCGAUUGAAUGGUCCGGUGAAAUCUCGGGACGGCGGCUUGGUCGCUUGCGUCCGACUGCUGAAACUUGAUUAAACCAUAUCAUUUAGAGGAAGGUGAAGUCGUAACA